CGGCGGACGGCUCCCGGGCCCCCGGCCCCGCUCUGCGGGGUGUCCGCCGGAGGAUAACCAAACUCUGAUUUAMCGACGUUUCUUCUGAGUGGCACAAGCAAAUAAUCAAAACUUUUAACAACGGAUCUCUUGGUUCUGGCAUCGAUGAAGAACGCAGCGAAAUGCGAUAAGUAAUGUGAAUUGCAGAAUUCAGUGAAUCAUCGAAUCUUUGAACRCACAUUGCGCCCGCCAGCAUUCUGGCGGGCAUGCCUGUUCGAGCGUCAUUUCAACCCUCAAGCACUGCUUGGCGUUGGGGCUCUACGGUUGACGUAGGCCCUCAAAGGUAGUGGCGGACCCUCUCGGAGCCUCCUUUGCGUAGUAACUUUUGUCUCGCACUGGGAUUCGGAKGKWCUCUUUCCGU
rnacentral:rRNA from 1 species